GUUUGAACAUUUCAUGUUCCUGUGCCUUCAGGGUUUCUUUUGGAUGGUGUGACCAGAUUAUGGGUGACAUGUCUUAGGAUCUUAGGUUCAGAGGAUGCCAUGGACAUCAAUCUUCCAUCCCUUUAAAUGGAUUCUGCCAAGAAGACAAGAUUGGAUUAAAAUACUUUACAAAAUUUUCCGAGUAUGUGUUUUGCCAUGGACAUCAAACUAAACAAUGGAAACAGUGAUCCAGGGAAACCAGCGCAAAAACUAAUAAGGGGAAAGAAAAAGACUCACAGCAU
rnacentral:lncRNA from 1 species